GCCUAUCCCCCGGCCGGCGGCGUUGGCGGGGAGGGGGACAGUAGUUGUAGACGCCCGCCCCUGCCUCAGAGAAGCUUCCUGGUUGUUGCACGGUCUCACCAUUUGGGGAAAGUCCAUGCUAGAAAACUGAAGCAAUUAAUGGGGGAAUAUGAUCAGAUUUCUUCACCAAGUUCCCAGCCUGAUAAAGAGAACCCCUUGUUGUCAACCUAAUGAAGCAUUCAAAGAAGACAUAUGACUCUUUUCAAGAUGAACUUGAAGAUUAUAUCAAAGUGCAGAAAGCCAGAGGCUUAGAGCCAAAGACUUGUUUCAGAAAGAUGAGAGAGGACUGUUUGGAAACUUGUGGGUACAAAGAAGAGGUUGAUUACAGACCGAGGCAUAGAAUGUUUGAUCACAGACUCUCAUC